rnacentral:rRNA from 1 species
AACGCGAAGAACCUUACCAAGGCUUGACAUACACCGGAAACGUCUGGAGACAGGCGCCCCCUUGUGGUCGGUGUACAGGUGGUGCAUGGCUGUCGUCAGCUCGUGUCGUGAGAUGUUGGGUUAAGUCCCGCAACGAGCGCAACCCUUGUUCUGUGUUGCCAGCAUGCCCUUCGGGGUGAUGGGGACUCACAGGAGACUGCCGGGGUCAACUCGGAGGAAGGUGGGGACGACGUCAAGUCAUCAUGCCCCUUAUGUCUUGGGCUGCACACGUGCUACAAUGGCCGGUACAAUGAGCUGCGAAGCCGUGAGGUGGAGCGAAUCUCAAAAAGCCGGUCUCAGUUCGGAUUGGGGUCUGCAACUCGACCCCAUGAAGUUGGAGUUGCUAGUAAUCGCAGAUCAGCAUUGCUGCGGUGAAUACGUUCCCGGGCCUUGUACACACCG